rnacentral:rRNA from 1 species
AUGGAGCGGCUUCGUCUCACGGCAGUGGAGGCGCAGCCAGUGAUUCUUGAUGAUGAGGAUGAGGCGGAUCUGGUAGCCCUGGAUUGUGCCCUAGUGGGGAAGGUGAUGUCCCCUAAUCCUCUCCACAUCCAGACGAUCUCCUCGGCGAUGCGGCCGGCGUGGGGUAAUCCAAAAGGUUUGCUGUUCCAUCCCUCGGGGAAUAAUGUCUUCGUGGCAGAAUUUGGCACCCAGGCUGACAGGGCCAGGAUGAUCGAGGGCUCUCCAUGGAUGGUGGGCAAGCACGCGGUGCUUCUGAAAGUUUUUGAUCAAAAUGUUAAGCCCCUUCAGGUUCGGUUCGAUCGCCUAGCGAUUUGGGCUCGAAUUAUGAAUCAACCGCCGAGGCUGAUGAAGGCCAAGCUUGGGCGGGAGUUUGCCAAACCUAUUGGGCAGAUUUUGAGUGUGGAGUCAGAUAGCGAUGGUCGAUGCUGGGGUGGCUUCAUGAGAGUCAGAACUGAAAUCAAUGUGCAUGAGCCGAUUGUCCGUUAUAUUACUAUGACAUCUCUUAAGUUGAAGAGUACUGAGACUUUCUCGGUGAUGUAUGAGAGGUUGCCGUUCGUCUGUUUCUCCUGUGGCAUCCUGGGGCAUUCCUUGGUGAUGUGCCCUACUCCUGGCUUGUGGGAUGAGAACGGUGACUUACCCUAUGCUGCGAAGAAGCUAUGUGUCAAUGAUGAGCAUUCGAGGAGAUCCGGGGGCUCCAGGUCUAGUGCGGCCUCUUCUUCGUCUGCUACGACGGGUGACCGCGCCUUUGGUAACUCCAAAUUUGAAGCUGCGGGUUAUGUCAACUCUUCUGCCCCGGAUGGUAUGGAUACUGCUGGUGGUGAUGUUUCUUCGCCUAUCAAAUUUGGGGUGGCUGCUCGAGGCCGUGGCCGCACUUUCAGGGGUCGCGGCAGAGGGCGGGCCAGUGACCCUAGCCGUGAAUUGUUUUCAUCCACGCGGAAGAAAUCCGGGGCUGCCGGUCAGAAGAGGAAAUCAGGAAAAGCUUCCACAUCUUCUCCCUCUCAUGUGUUGGAGGAGGACAAUACCCUUGCUCUGGUUCCAGUACCGGGUGGACCUGUUUUGUGUCAUGCUGAGGCUCAAGACACCGACCUAGAGUCCAACAAGAAACAACGAAUUUCAGAACUUCGAUCGGCGGAUCCGGCGGAGGCUGCGGCGCAACCCCGCCAGACGCAAUGA